AUUGAACGCUGGCGGCAGGCCUAACACAUGCAAGUCGAACGGUAACAGGAAGAAGCUUGCUUCCUUGCUGACGAGUGGCGGACGGGUGAGCACUGUCUGGGAAACAGCCUGAUGGAGGGGGAUAACUACUGGAAACGGUAGCUAAUACCGCAUAACGUCGCAAGACAAACAAGGGGGACUUUCGGGCCUCUUGCCAUCGCAUGAGCCCAGUUGGGAUUUGCCAGUAGGUGGGGUAACGGCUCACCUAGGCGACGAACCCGAGCUGGACUGAGAGGAUGACCAGCCACACUGGAACUGAGACACGGUCCAGACUCCUACGGGAGGCAGCAGUAGGGAAUAUUGCGCAAUGGGCGCAAGCCUGAUGCAGCCAUGCCGCGUGUAUGAUGAAGGCCUUCUGUUUGUAAAGUACUUUCAGCGGGGAGGAAGAGAGUAAAGUUUAUGCCUGAACACAUUGACGUUACCCGCAGAAGAAGCGCCGGCUAACUCCGUG
rnacentral:rRNA from 1 species